CAGCAGUGCAGACAGAGUUAACUUGAAGACUGAGCACCCCACUGGGUGUCCCAGAGACCCUCCUCUUGUCCUGACUUGUUGACUGGCCACCUUUUUUGGGUUUGUUAUAGUUUGUUUACCUUGGACUGUGCUUUCUCCCUGCAGUUUGCUGCCCUGGGCCUCUGGUUUGAAGUCAGCCGCCCAAUGGCCUCGACACCGUCACCUCGCCUCCAGCCACGGGCCAUGCUCCACACGCCACCGACACUUUGGCCAGGGGGAGGGGAGAGAUGGCUUAAUCAUUGCAGGCCAACACCCAGCCUGGAUCUGCCUGAUGGACAACAGUAUUGAUAGUCUAGCUGACCCUUGUUCGACAAGCUGACAUUCCCCGUAUUUCACAGGCCGACGCUGGACGUGCAUCAAAGAGACUGUCAGGUCACCAAACAGCUAAUUAAAGCAAUAAAGAGUCAGGAAGGCUAAAUGGCCCCUUUCCUCCUCAGGAGCCUAAGGUCCCUUGUAGGAACCUGCAUGGUUCCUUCUUCCCUGGAAGUGCAGUCCAAGAUGGAGAGGAUAUUGGGGAAUGUCCCAGCAAGCCCUCGGAUCAGAAAAAGGAUGAAGAGGGCCUGCUGAUGCUGAACCAAAGAGCCGCACUGCAAGAUAAUGAAUCAUAACAGCAGAGAGAGGAGGAAGUGACUCCAAUCAGCACCCUCCAUCCGGAAGGCAUUCCACCUUGAAUUAUGGCCUGGUGUAAGAAGGGGAAGGAAUCAGUAUUCCCAUUUGACGGAUGUGAACAUUGAGAAAAACAGAGUGAAUUUCGGCAAGUGUAACUGGGUGGCAUUGAAUCAUCAAGGUCCAGUCCUUUAGCUGGGCUCCAGGGAGAAGGUGAAAAAUUCACCCAGAGACCUCUUGGAGAUAGUAAUACAUUAUUUGGUAUUAGCAUUCUAGCUCAUUCAUAUACUUUCCCCCGAGUCCAUUCUGUAUCCCUUUGAGGUAAGUUUUAUUAUUGAGCCCAUUUUACAGAUAACAAAACAAGCUCAGAGAAAAUAAGUAACAGUUUAAGGUCUUGCACUCAGUGAGUGGUUUCUAAUCCUAUAGGUGCAAUAUCGUUGCUAAUUCCACCAAGAAAAUCCUCACCUGUUUGUGUAGGGCUCAUGCCAAUCCCAGCUUAACAUGGUAGAAAAAGCACUGAGGGUCAUCCUGAGGACCUAUUAUGUACCAGCCACUAUGCUAGGCCCUGAGGAUACAACCCUGUGACCCAUGGAGCUUACAAUUGAGUAGGAAAGACAGCUAGAAAAUUAUAUAUGUGAUAUCUGCUGACAUGAAUGUCUUCUCUUUGUCAUUGCUGCACAUCUCUCCCCACUUUUUGAGCACAAAUCACCCACUUUUUGGGGGGAACUGUCUCUUCUCCAUGUCCCUUACUCCAUUAGUAAUUCUACUCAUUACAUCUGGUUCCUGACACCCCUACCCCACUAAAGCCCAAGGGCUAGACAUGUGACCUAUAUUGGCCAAUAAUGGUGUUUCAUCCCUUUGGUUGCAGUGAUUGAUUGGGUCAUGAAUGGGCACAUGAUCCAAACAGAGCCAGUUGGAGUUCUUUCCUUGAAAUUUACAUCAAGAAACUGGGAGAGGAAAAUGGUAAGAAUGUAGUUAUAGGACUCUCUGUAGACUCAUCUCCAACCCCAGCCACACACAGCAGACCCAUUUUCAGAAGAAGAAAAUGAGGUCUUAUACAAGAGAGCAAGAAAACCAAGAUGUGGAUGAAAGGGAGAGAAAAAGAGAUGUAUCAAGUCCUAGAAAUCCAAGGGUGAGUGUCCCAAGCAGGAGAACCAGAGCAGGGGCUAGAGCGACUAUCAUCAACUUAGCCUCAAAAGUCAUAGACCAUAACUUCUACCAUAUUCUAUUUGUUAGCCUGGUACAUAGUCAAGGAGAGAAGAUUUCAGUGCCAUUUUUUAUGAGAAGUGUAUCGAGGGAUUUGCAGACAUGUUUUAUAACCACUCCAUCUCCUGUUUCCCCUUACUCAGCCUGGGGCCAUGUUCUUAUAUUCUUUCCAAGGCUAGAACCCACAGCAACUGCAAGUUAUUCUUGAAUAUCUUUUAGUAAGAUGAUACUGCCUAAUUCUGAAGAGGAGAGAGGGAGAACAGGAACAGGAGACAAGGUCCCUGUAACCUUUUCUAGCUAUUUCCAAGGGAGGAAAUGAAAGGAAGCUAGUAACCACACUUCCCAUUAGUAAGAAACUUUACAACUCUCAUUAUCUUUCAUAUCCAAACAGCCUUGUGGAUUGGACAAGAUAAUAUUGUCCACAUGUCACAGAGGAGAUACUAAGGCUCACAAACAGUAUCUGCUUGUGAUGGCAGAUACUCAAUGCAGUCUGGAUUCUACAUCUCAGCUCCCUAAUUUUCUCGGGGUCCAUCCUCUUAUUUCUAACUCAUGCUUCUUGAUCCUAUGAACUAUGCACGUCUCAGAUCAUAUAGGAGAAGCUGAUCCCGCCAGUGAGGUUUACACCCAUCUUAACUGCUCCAUAAAACCUCAUGAGACUUCCUCAAAUCCAGAGAAGUUAAGUCCUGACACUUUAACAGCUCGUUCACGAUACACAAACCAGAUGGACCCGAGCCUUGAAUCCAUUUCGCACCAUCAGGCAGCAAUCACAUUAUAGGCUCUGCACGCUGGCUAGGCACAGAACCCUGCUCUUUGUUCUGUCCACAGACACCCUGGGGCAGGGGUGUGGGAUACCUAUUUCCUGUCUUGCAUCUGUUUAUAAAUGCGCCACCAAAGAAGAGGGGCUGUUGGCCGUUCCCUCUGGAUUUAAAACACAGUUUCAGCUCCUCAUGAACUGGAGACAGGUAGGAUUUUAGGAAACUGGCAUCCUCUGAAGAAAUUAACUGAGAGAUGAGAUUUCUUUAGUGACAGCCUUCGUGUUGUAAAAGAUAAAAGUGUAGCUUUUGGCUUUUCAGCUUCUAGGAGUGGAAAGGAGCGGUUAGAUCACAGACUCCGGGUGCAUGAAAACUUUGCACCCUGAUGGGUCCGAACUCUGACUCUGCUACUCACGGUUGAUUUGGAGCAGACUCCUGAUAUUCUCAGCCUCUCUUUAUUCAUCUGUAAGAUGAGUAUAAUGAUACAUUAUUGCAUAAAGUUGUUAGAUGUAGACCACUCGUGAGCACCACAUAACUGGUGCACAACGUAUGUGCUCAGUUUGUGGUAGCAAUUGAAGAUCAAGAGCUCGGCAAGGCAAUACAGGAAAAAGCACUGGCCUUGUGAGGAAUUCCAUCCAAGAAGCACACAACUGAGUGCUUCCCAAAAGGUGAUCCAAGGCACACCGGACUCAGAAAACACACAAUCAGGAAAACACACACAAAAGAAGGUCUUUCUUCAACUCAGUUUGGGAAAUUUUGAAAGAGACAAAAA
rnacentral:lncRNA from 10 species